rnacentral:rRNA from 1 species
UACGUAGGGGCCUAGCGUUGUCCGGAUUUAUUGGGCGUAAAGCGUCUGUAGGUGGCUUUUUAAGUCAGGGGUGAAAUCCUGGAGCUUAACUCCAGAACUGCCUUUGAUACUGAGGAGCUAGAGUCCGGAAGAGGUGAGUGGAACUGCGAGUGUAGAGGUGAAAUUCGUAGAUAUUCGCAAGAACACCAGUGGCGAAGGCGGCUCACUGGUCCGGUACUGACGCUGAGGUGCGAAAGCGUGGGGAGCAAACAGG